UUGAAUUCAUGUUUUGGGUCGUCAAACACCGCGUGGGCAUGCCAAGAUUACAAAACAUCCACUGAGCUCAGAAGACACAAACACCGCGUGGGCACGCCAAAAUCGGUUUUCGUCCUCUGAUCUCAGGAGACAUAAACAACGCGUGGGCACGCCAAGAUUUCACUUCCUGAUUGCAGUGAAGGAAAUAUUAAUACUGAUACUACCCAACGAGGAAACGACAAAAUGAAAGAAAUAAACAACUAAAAACAAUAAAAUCAAUAUUCGGGUUGCCUCCCAAAAGAGCGCCUUUCUUUAGUGUCUUUGGCUAGACAUAGCAUAUAAUUUGCUUAAUCCAAGCAAAUUGGGUCCUCCAAAUGCAUUGUCUCUACUCGUUUAACUGGAGCCCUAUCAUAAUAUGGCUUGAAACGAUGACCAUUCACCACAAAUUUCUUCUCCGUCUUUAGACUCUGGAUCUCCACUGCACCAUAAUCAAAGACAUUAGUAAAACAUGCAAGAUUUAAUCGCUAGAUAUUUGAUUUAAAUUUUUUUCUUUUCCUUUUCAACUACCAAACAAAUAACUUGCACUUCAUAAAAAUAACUUAUAUAAUUUUUUUAAAUAACAUUGCGUUAUGGAAUUUCUAAAAUUACAGUUGAAAUUGUAACAUAUAUUAAUGACUAUUAAUUAUUAGAUUCUUAUAACUAAUAUUCAUCGGUGUCAACAAAUAAAUACGAUUCAUUAAUAACAAAGGAAAAUUAGAAUUUGAUAAAAAAAAUUAUUUGAUAAAAAAGGAAAAAAAAGUUAGUAUUUUAUUCAUAAAAUAUAGUCAACACCUUACAUGUUAACAAUUUCAUUCUAUUUUUACAUUGAUCUAUGAAAUAGAAAGAACUAUGCAUGUGUACUUUUUCCACCAUUUAAAUGUAUUAUAAUAAAAUAACGUAUUUCCAACCUUACAAUUACCAAUUUUUUUUAAUAUAAAAGAAAUAUGCAUGUAUAGUAAAUUAUAUUAAAAAGAUUAUUGUGAAUAUGAUUUUUUUUAGAGCACAUAUUUGAUGACUUUAGGCACGUGCAAGUUUUAAAAUAAAAAAAAAUUAUUCCUCUGCUAAUUACAGAUUUUUAAAUAAAAUUUCUCUAACAUUUCUCCGAAAUAUAAGAUUUUAGUAGAGAUUUUAAAAUAAGAUUUUACUACCGACAGCAUUUUAGUAAAGGCAAAUUCUACAAAACAAACAACAUUUACAUUUAAUUUUAUAUUUUUUUUGGAGCUCGUAAAUUUCAUUUAAAAUUUUUUUUUCUAGCAAGUUUGAAUUUAAUUUUCUGAAAGUCAUACUUAUAAAUGCGAAAUCUAACAAAAAAAUUAAAUACAAUUUUUGGAGGUCAAAUUUAUCAAAUGCGAGCUAUUUGAAAAUUUAAAAAAAAAAUAUUUAGGAGCUCGCAUUUAGCUCUUACUAUUUUCUGGAAAAAAUUCUCUAGUCCCAAAAAAAAAACAAAAAAAAUUAAAUUAUACUUAGUGUGGGAGCUCUAUUGAGCUCGCAUUCGCGGAAUGCGAGCUCUAUUGACCUCCGAAAAAAUUUUUUUUUAAGGAAUGCGAACGCGAAUGCGAGAUCUUUAAACAUUUUGUUUCAAUACAAAAAAAUCUCUGCCUCCGAAAAAAAAAUAAGCACAAAAAUUUUACUUAUACUUUCUGGGCUCUAUUGAGCUCGCAUUUCUGAAAUGCGAGCUCUGUUGAGCUCGCAUUCCGCGAAUGCGAAGACCCCCCGAUGGAUUCCCUCACCAAAAUUACCCCUUUUAUAGAAUUUUUUUAAAAUUCACCACAAAUUUGGAAAUUUCUCUCGCUGUUUCUGGGUUCAUCCGAAACAAGCUUGGAAUCUUAUGCAGCAAUUUUAACAACAAAUCCAAUCUCAAGUCCUUGUCAAAUUCCCAAACCCAUCAUCAAGAUAUGAUGCUAAACACAUAAAAGGAAAAAUCUGAGCUGAGGAACUUGCAAGAACCCAGGUUCGUUCAUUGGUUUCAAGUUCUGGGUUUUCAUGUCAAAAUCAAACAAGCACCAAACUCUCAAGCCAAAACAACAAUCAAACCCAAAUCUUGUACUUUGCCCUCCUAAGAAUUCUCAGACCCAAAUUACACACACAAACAGGAACCAAAAAUGCAACCUUUAGUUCAUCAGAUUACAUAUGUGGGAAACACUAUCUGUUCAUGGCCUCUCGAUUGAAUUCUUAGUUCAGAUUCACAUUAAAUGAACAAAGGGCCGGCACCAAGCCUAUCAAUAGCACCACAACAUCCCCAAACAUACCCACAGUCAUCGUCAUCAGGCAUGAGCAACAACUAAAAACUUAGAAAAGGAAGAAAAUCAUGCAUCAGUGACUCAAAUCUCUAUGAAAGUUGUAUUAAACCAACAUUGAGAGGAAUCCAUGAUUACCUGAGAGCACUAAAGCCGCUAUAUGAUCGUGAAAUGCCCCAAGAAACGAGCGGUUCUGGAAGACGCAACCCACGAACUGUUUUUGCAAAAAAUUUUCAGCCUGAUGAAGGCGCUAAUUUGGGCCGAGAUUUCACUUUCUUAGAGCCGUUUUCUCCCGGGGCUUUGUGAACAAAAUUUCUCCUAAUACCUCCCAAGAAGGUGCAGAACCCACGAAAUCACUCAAAAACUAGAAAUCAGAAUCAGAAGUCAAUCUGGAAGGGGGCUGGUCUGCCAGCCUGGUACCAGAUUUUCUGCAACUUUUCCUUCUUCCUUUUUCUCCAGCCAGGCCGAAGCUCCUUCCUUCCUCUUGUUUUCUUUUUUUUUUUCAGAUUUCCCCCAAGCUCUCUUUUUUCUCUCUUGGUAGCAGCCCCCCUUUCUUUUUCUUCCCUGGUUUUUCUCCUGCCCAGCCCGUAGCCUUUCCAAGCUUUUUCUCUCCCUCCAGCUCUCUUUCUUUCUUUGUUGUUGCUUCCUUAUCCCAGAAACCCUCCUUGUUCAGCUGUUCCCCCCUCUUUCUUUUUUUUUUUUGGAUUUCUCCCCAUGAAACCCUUUUUCUUUUCCUCUCUUAAAACCUUUGUUGCCCGAAGCCCUUUCUGGUUUUCUUUGCUCCUCCCCCGCGCAGCCUUCCCUUCCUUGUUUCCUCUCUACUGCCCGAAAGCUCUCUAGCUUUCCUUCUUGCCUUUGCCCGUAACUUUUCUUUUCCCUCAAUCUCCUAUCUCUUCUUGGUUUCUCUUUCUGGUUUCCUACCCUUUCUCCUCCAGCCCGUCACCCUCAGCUCUCUCUCUCGCUUGACUUUUUCUUUCUUUCCUCCGACCCUUUCUUUUUCUUUUCUUGUUUCUCCUUCUUGCUCUUGCCUUG
rnacentral:lncRNA from 1 species